CCUCUUUCCUCAUCCUUCCCAUCUCCUUCAAUGCCCUGUUACUCGUAUGCAGCAUGUCUUCCAGGCUUUGUGGCCCAGUGAAAGCAUCAAGGAAAUUGUGCAAGAUCCCCAUAUGCUUCGACACUGAAAUUAGUGAAUUGCCUGCAGUGGCUGCUCUACCACUGGAGAAGAGAAAACCUUGUCAUAUUGCCCUGAAAUUCCAGCAUCCAGAGCAUCAAACAGAGGUGUGAUCACCAGCUCCACCAGACAUUGUGAUGCAUUUGGGACCCUUGAGCUGGCAAGGAUACAGACAGCAGUCCCGUGUAUUCCUGAUGCCCUGCUACAUACAAACUCUGCCAGACGACAUGGCCAAAGGCUCCGUAGGGUUAGAGCCUGGUCAGGCGAUACCAGGAGGAACAGGGUUUAUGGUCUUGGAUACUGUCGUUGUAGAUGGAUGUGUUAAGUUGCUGAAACUGAGUUCAGAAAGGAACCACAUUGGUUUGGGGAGCCUGGCUGAGACCUUUGUCAAGAAAAUGAAAAGGGAAAACCUGGGAGAUGCAUGACGUGCUCAUAGAUAGACCAGUGUGGGUGCAGCAGCUUUACAGUGUCGCAUGUUCACCUGCAUCAGGCAGAAAAAAAAGGUUAAGCCAGGUUGUAGGAGAAGGAGGGCAGAGAGCAAAGGACCAGAGAAAAGAAAAUGCUGCGCUGACUGGCAAAGAGACUGCUCUCUUUGUGUUCUUUGUGCUUAGACUCAAACAUCUUCACAGGAUAUUUUUUCCUCUAAUCUGGAAAUAAUUCUGAUUCAUUUUAAGCCUUCUAUUAAGACAAGUCACGCAGCACUGCCUGGCUGGCAGUAGGAGGUUGUGUGUGCGCAUGUGCAUGCAGACAUGCGUGUGUAUUUCCAAGGGUGCUGCCUGCUUUCUUUUGUUGACACUGCAGUCAAUUAUUGUGUUUUCAAUUAUAUAUAAAAGGCAAUGAUAGAGUUUUUCAGCUUUUAUAGCACCACAAAUCACAGGGCCCUUCACUGUACAAGCAGUGUUGUUGCCACAGUGGAGCAUGGCAGAUCACAACUUUCAUGUGCAGACUUACAGAGGAACUAGUGCCACCAGGGACCCCCAAACAGCAAGAGGACCACCUUGGGGCAGGCAAGCGCUUGCAGGCAGCUGCUCCUCUGCGUGGUCCUUUAGCCAUCAGACCCUGUCUGACAGACAAGGAAGGUCAAUGUGGUCCUUGGGCUUUGCCAUGGAAAGGCAGAAAGACCUAUUUUCUGCAUGCUUCUCAUGUUCAGCAGCAAGUUUUUGAAGGAGCUGUGAAGCUUGGAUAAGCGAGGAAGGGUUACAGAGGCCAGGUGAGGAGAUCAUUCAUGAGAAGGGUCACGAUACAGAGAAUUACUCUGGCUACAGCACAACUUACCAUGAAUACCUUAGCCACACAGUGGGUAUCUGGCUAGCCCAAAGUAACUUGGUAAAUCUGAAGCAAGUAGGCUGGAAAAUUGUUGGAAACUAGGGUCUGUUUCACAGAAUGAUCCUUUAGUUGUACAUAAUAAAGUCACAUACCUACUGCUGUGUUUGCAAAGCUAACCCUAUAAAAAAGCGGUUUGGACUGGCAGAUCAGGAGUGUUUUCCUUUGAAACUAGCCUAUAUAAGGAAAAACCUGAGGAUGUAAUGGUGUACAGGCACCAUAGUCCUCACCAGUAGCCAGAUGAUGCCACCUACCACCCAGGGAUCUGAACAAGACUUCACCACUGUCAGGCUUGAUCUUCCCUUGGCUUUGGCAUUUGGGUAUGUUAAUGCACAUGUAAAUGCCUUAAAAUUGCCUGGCACCAGGGCAGCACUAGCAGUUCCUCCAAUUUUGUUUAGUAAAGGAGAUGUUAGCCAAGUUGGUUUUAUUCUGCUCUGCACUGAUGGGGAAGGGGGUGUCUGGAUGCAUCAUCAGACUGCAUUUUACUUGUGGCAGAUUGGCGGUAACCCAGCAGUCACGUCCAUGAGAGUGAGGCUGUGAGAGUCUGAGUGGAGCAGGAAUAGAAAUCGAAUCAUUGCCGCAUAGGGUGAAGAAGAACACUUGAAUUCUGAGACUCCAGUAAGCAAGUAAGUAAGAAAAAUAAACAGAAGUUGUCAGCUAAGCUGGAUAUAUUGACUGCAGUACAAACUGGAGAAGGAGCAGUGACCCUGAUGACUGGGAUGGAGACAUUUCACCCAGGCCGUACCCUGGAAAUUUGUGCUCUUUUGCAUAAUGAGCUACGAGCACACAGGCAAGGAGGAUCCCAUCAUGGUAAAGAAUAUUGCCAAUUCAGGGAGACAGAGACCAGCAUGAGAAAGAGACCAUUGGAAGACUCACUGUUAAAUGGUGCUGGUUACCACUCAAGGGUGAGUUUUCACUAUGGAACUGGGACUUUAAAUAGGGAUAUUUGUGUGGAGUGGAUUGGGGCUUCAGGUGAGCAGCCCAGUUAGACCAAUUCUAAUGAGAAUCCUGGAGGUAAAGCUGGCUGAAUGCCCACUGACUGGACUCCACAUGACACUGAGCUCCACGAGCCUGCAGUGGGAAGGGCGAAUAGGCUAUGGUGGUUGUGAUGAGCGUCAAGAUUUUUAACUGGUUUGGAAUCUAAUCUGGAAGAAAAAGAAACAAUCAGAUGAGGGACUGGAGUCAUGUAUUGCUAGAAAGUUACUCCUGGGAUAGUUCCUGCAUUGCUGCUGGGGGACACCGAGGUCCUAUUGAUAGUGAACCGGUAUUCAGAACAGCAUGCUACGCUAGAGGUUAGGCAUGACUGCAGGACCUGGGAUUUCAGCUAACAGAAAUGAGAGGCAGGGGUGCAUGCCGGGAGGGAUGGAAGGAUACUCUGGAAAGAAAAGGAGCUAGAAACAAACCUAGUCAAAGCAAUUGGUACCAGUAAUAAUCACUUUCUCAAAUCAGGGUCCUGAGGACAAACAAGGCCAAAGCUCUGGAGGAUGAGAGGGAACUUUACAGUCCCGCGGUGUGCGGCACUCUGCCUGCGGGAAGGUAGGGGGUGCUUUGUCUGGACUGGAUAAGUCUUGGAAAUGGCAUUUGAAUUCGAUGUGAAACAGGGUUUGGAAGGCACUAGAGAGCCUGGGAAAAGAUCUGGCUAGGUGGAAUAUAAAACCCAUUAGUGUCUUAAUGCAUAAAUUGGCAGAACUGUACAAUAGCAAUUAAAACCAAGAUACUGAGAGCCCAAAUUGUUAUUAGAUUCUGGUGCCUCAGUGACUAUUGAAAUUCCUAGUUUGCAAGAAUGUGGGUACCUGCAAGGUACACCGUACAGACAAAAGUGUACAGUGGUCACCUGUGGUGCAAAAAGCAUUUCAGCUCUGCUCCUACACCCUGGUGCAAACCGGAGAGUGCAGUUGGGUUUUCUUGUAUUCAGCUUCAUGUGCAGGAUAAAAAAUGGGCUUUACAGCAGCCGGUCCUUAAACAAAAUAGGUUAUUUUAGAUCUUGCUAACUGUGGAAGGAUAAUACAGAAAUAGAAGGGACUGAUAAUUGCCUUACCUACAAAAUUAAGUACUCCUGUAAAGGCUCCUGAAAUACUCAGAAGACCUCAGGAUGAGGGUGAGUUACCUUUCUGCAAGUAUAAGCUUGAGAUAAGUUGGAGUAUGGAAAGAUUAAUGCCUUUGCUUUAAUAACAGGGCUUGAUCCAAGACUGCAGAAACGAUGUAAGUACCCAAGCGAAGCUCAGAAAGCCUGGUGGAUCAAGGAGUGCCAGUGCAAUGACCCAGUGUGUGUAAUUCCCCUGUAUGGCUGGUAUUAAAGGGAGAUAGAAAGAUGCAUCUGACUGUGGAUUUCAGAGCAUUAAAUGCUGAAACUCCACAAACAUCACCUCUUCUUGUUAAAAUGCCAGAAAUUACGGCUGCAAUAGUACAAGGAGCUAAGUGGUUUUCAGUCAUAGAUCUAGCAAAUGCAUUUUACUUCAGCCCUUUAUCAGAGAAAUGUUGGUAAAAGUUUGUUGUUACAUUUCAGGAGAAACAAAAUUGUUUCACAUGAGUUCUUCAAGGAUUUCACAAGCUCCUGUGAUUUGUCACAUACACAUCACCCAAACGUGGAAGAAAUUAGCCUGCAGGUUCUGGAAGCAUGUAACAUCAUGUGUGGAUCACACCUGAAUUCUGAAGAACAAGCGUGUCAGCAGACAGGAAGUUUUGGCUGCAAUCCAGGAGGAAGGAUUGAAAGUCAACAGACAAAAGGUUCAAUUAGUGCAACAAGAGGUGGUUCAAGUUCUCGUAGGAUAAGGCUUGCACAAGAUUUGCUCCAGUCCAUGUAAAGAAGAGCAGGAGCUAGGGGGGCAGGUCUCGCCUCACUCCGUACAAGUGGCAGAAAUCCCAGCUGCAUUGUCAGGUAUAAAGCAGAAACUACACACAGCAGAAUACCCGCAAACCUCAGGAUACAAAGAAUUUGGCUUCUAAAGGAACCUUUUAAGGAAGUUAGUACAGCUUUCAACAUCCUCAAAGGCAUCUAAUUGUUCAGGAUACACUGAGUAUCUGCACUUAGAGAAAUCAAGCCUCGAGUGGAACUCCCCUGAAAGCAAGGCACCGGGAAGCCAAGAUUAGUUCUCAGAAACACCGGUUUAACAGAAGCUUCCCUACUUUAAAGCCAAAUGCAAUGCUCCCUGCUGUGAUGGAUUCCUUCUUUUUCCUUCCUAAUUGGAGGCAUUUCAUCGGAUCGAGUUUUGACAGAGAUAGUAAUUGUCAUCCAAUUUUAAGGCAAUGACAAGAUCAAUAUGAAUUCUCAGAUGACAAGUAUUAUUACCAGCGGCACCUUCCCUGCUUUCCAGCGCAUUCCCAAUCUGACAGCACCAACUGAAGACGCGCAGGCUGCAGGGAACCCAGCCUCCAGCAGCACCAGCAGCACAGCACAGGACUGCCAUGUUGUAUCAGCGCCCUGAGCCACGCUCUCUGAGGCUGCUUUCAGCUCUGGUUGAUGCAGAGGGGACCAUUAAAAUUCAGACUCCACUCACUGCUAGCUUGGAGUAAUAUUGGAGGAUUACAGCGCUUAAAGGCACAUAAGGAUGAUGAACAAGUGGAAAGGAUCUUAUGUCCUUACAUCCACAGGGAGUUUUGUGCCUCUGCCCUGUUGGCAUUAGUCAUGUCAGUACCAAAGCCCCAGAUUCUGUCCCUGUACAGAAAGGAGUGAUGGUUGUCACAGAUGGAAGACACUGAAGAAGUAAAGGACACUCUUACCGCCGUGGAUGUGCUGGGCAAUAUGAAGAAAGCUCAGAAACAACCCCCACAGCAGUCAUCUGAAGAAAGUGAGAGCUCAUGCCUCAGCCAAGCUGUUGCUGGACAGUGAUCUGUUAAAGUAGAAAGUUUUACUGAAGGGCGCAUGUCACUGGUCAAACAUUUCCAGAUCGGAACAAGCUCCUGCAGGCUGUACUCCCCUUCCAUCAUGCCCCAAACCGAGGAGAUGAGUCAGCCUCGGCAAGGCCAGCAACGCCUCUGGAAAUGGAGCACUGCUCACAGAAAAUCCCGACAGCCCAGGCUACAGGUGAUUCUGUGUCUGUUAAAUAGCCAGUAGGGCCUUCCGACUGAUAGGACCAAAUCCCAGCACGGAGCUGAAGCCCCAGGCAGGCGGAUGACAAAGAGGAGGCACACCGGGU